GGAACCGUGCCCGAAUAUUUAGGGAUCACUUUGAUAGAGUGAAAUAUGGGGGUUAAAAUCCCCCCAGUUCUU
rnacentral:tRNA from 1 species